UACGUAGGGUGCAAGCGUUGUCCGGAAUUAUUGGGCGUAAAGAGCUCGUAGGCGGUUCGGUAAGUCGGGUGUGAAAACUUUGGGCUCAACCCAAAGCCUGCACUCGAUACUGCUGUGACUUGAGUCCGGUAGGGGAGUGGGGAAUUCCUGGUGUAGCGGUGAAAUGCGCAGAUAUCAGGAGGAACACCGGUGGCGAAGGCGGGUCUCUGGGCCGAUACUGACGCUGAGGAGCGAAAGCGUGGGGAGCGAACAGG
rnacentral:rRNA from 1 species